rnacentral:tRNA from 1 species
GGUUGUAGCUCAGUGGUAGAGCACUUGGCUAGCAUGUGUGAGGUACUAUGUUCAAUACUUAGCACCG